rnacentral:lncRNA from 1 species
AAAGAUGAAUGAUUUCUGAUGAAUAUCUUUGGCCUGUAGUGCAAAGAUGAUUGAUUUCUGAUGAAUAUCUUUGGCCCGUAGUGCAAAGAUGAACAAGUGUGUAGAUGAACAUGACCAAUUGGUGGAUGUCCUUGGCCUGUAGUGCAAGGAUGAAUAUAUGAUUCUAGAUAUAUAUUGAUUGAUGUUACAGGGAUAAAAAUAUUGAUGAUG